rfam:Hymenolepis nana genome assembly, scaffold: HNAJ_scaffold0002647
GUCAGUGUGGCCGAGCGGUCUAAGGCGCCAGACUCAAGCGAGAGCUUUCUGGGAAUUCUGGUCCUCGUAUGAGGGCGUGGGUUCGAAUCCCACCGCUGACA